rnacentral:rRNA from 1 species
GACGAACGCUGGCGGCGUGCUUAACACAUGCAAGUCGAACGGAAAGGCCCUGCUUUUGUGGGGUGCUCGAGUGGCGAACGGGUGAGUAACACGUGAGUAACCUGCCCUUGACUUUGGGAUAACUUCAGGAAACUGGGGCUAAUACCGUAUAGGAGCUCCUGCUGCAUGGUGGGGGUUGGAAAGUUUCGGCGGUUGGGGAUGGACUCGCGGCUUAGCAGCUUGUUGGUGGGGUAGUGGCUUACCAAGGCUUUGACGGGUAGCCGGCCUGAGAGGGUGACCGGCCACAUUGGGACUGAGAUACGGCACAUACUCGUACGGGAGGCAGCAGUGGGGAAUAUUGCACAAUGGGCGGAAGCCUGAUGCAGCAACGCCGCGUGCGGGAUGAAGGCCUUCGGGUUGUAAACCGCUUUCGCCUGUUACGAAGCGUGAGUGACGGUAAUGAGUAAAGAAGCACCGGCUAACUACGUG